CCUACAGAAAGCCAAUUUCAGUUCGGAUUGUAGGCUGCAACUCGCCUACAUGAAGUUGGAAUCGCUAGUAAUCGCGAAUCAGAAUGUCGCGGUGAAUACGUUCCCGGGUCUUGUACACACCGCCCGUCACACCACGAGAGUUUACAACACCCGAAGUCAGUGGCCUAACCGCAAGGAGGGAGCUGCCUAAGGUGGGGUAGAUGAUUGGGGUGAAGUCGUAACAAGGUACC
rnacentral:rRNA from 1 species